AGCGAACGCUGGCGGCAGGCUUAACACAUGCAAGUCGAACGCCCGGGCAACCGGGAGUGGCAGACGGGUGAGUAACGCGUGGGAACGUACCCUUUGGUUCGGAAUAACUCAGGGAAACUUGAGCUAAUACCGGAUAAGCCCUUUUGGGGAAAGAUUUAUCGCCGAAGGAUCGGCCCGCGUCCGAUUAGCUAGUUGGUGUGGUAACGGCGCACCAAGGCGACGAUCGGUAGCCGGUCUGAGAGGAUGAUCAGCCACACUGGGACUGAGACACGGCCCAGACUCCUACGGGAGGCAGCAGUGGGGAAUAUUGGACAAUGGGGGCAACCCUGAUCCAGCCAUGCCGCGUGAGUGAUGAAGGCCUUAGGGUUGUAAAGCUCUUUCGGCGGGGACGAUAAUGACGGUACCCGCAGAAGAAGCCCCGGCUAACUUCGUGCCAGCCGCCGCCGCAGUAA
rnacentral:rRNA from 1 species